GCCGGUUGGAACUCUGUACACUAUUAGACUGCAAAAGACUGCAUGCUGCAACUGUUGAAUUCCAAGUUUUUCUUACUUCUGAAAGGAUAUUAUAAUAUUAGAUUGAUUGCUUUGGCAUAUAAUUUUGAAUCAGAUUGUGUGAUACUACCUGAUUGACAGUUCUACAUCUACAUCUAAUACAAAUCCUCAAGAACUUCUGAAUUCAUAGAGAAGCACAAGAUUAUUAUGAUGGCGGAAACAGCAGAAGUGGAUGUACCAGAAGUCAAAGUGGGAGAAAAGUCACCCGACUCACCAUAUGAUCCAGAGGAUACUAUAAAUACCACGAUCACAUCGAUAGACACAACGUUACCGAGUGAUUCGGUAGCAUCACCUCCUCCUCAUACAAAUGGUAUCUCAAAUGGAAAAACCAAUGGAUCUGCUGUAGCUGGAAAUGAUGUGCAUAAUCUGAAACAAUACAAGCCUGGUAAGCAUGAAUCCACAUACAUAAAUGCAUGAUUCAAAACGGUUGGAUAUACCUUGUUUCUGAUGUUGAUUUUUAUGCCUGUCUUAUCCUCAUGGGAACAGCAUGGAGGUUUGUAUAAAAUUUAUGUUAAAGAUAGAUUGACAAUGUGUUUUGAAUGUCUACAUGGAAGUCUACUUGUACAUAUUGAGUUUUGACUCUGUUCUAUCAUUGUCUUUGUUUUUCCAUGUAUGUGAACGGGGGGGGGGGGGGGGUUCACAUUAGAAUAUUCGGUUUUGUUUAGCACAUAUCACAUCAUGUAUUACUCCUCCAUGUGCUUCCAAAUAGACUUUGUUGCUUAUACUGCAAAAUGUUGAGAGGGGGGGGGAGGUGAUUGCUCAAGGAUAAUGAAAUAUUUCGUGGGUCAGAAUUGCGAGGGAUGAAUUCUCAAGACAAAUAUAUUUUGCAAAGUUAACAAAAACUAACAAUCUUAUCUAUACACAACAAAAAAAGUAAGUCCCCCCUUGAACAAACAUCAAUAAUUUCCGAACCAAUGCGAGUUUUUGAUAUAUUUUUACACGAGUGUGUAGGUAAUUUUAUAAGCUACCCUCUGAGUAAAUGUUAUGGACGUAUUUUACGUCAUGCUUCAGUGAGCACCGUCAGAAGGCAAAAAUGUCACUUUCCAAAAGUCACAAGCCAAAAAUCAUGACUUUGAUUCCAUUUUAUUGGAACUGAUUCCACAUUCUCAUGAAAAAUAGUCAAAAGGCUUGUAAAAGCUACUUUCUAAAAGACGAUACAAUUUUUUGGGCUAAAUUUCACGGUUGAAUAAACACAAGUCCAAAUUUGCUAUAAUUGGAUUUUUUACACAUUUUCAUCAAUAAAAAUGAAAGAAUAUGAUGACAGUUAUUUUUAUGAAGAGUAUCUUCAACAAUAUUCAUCGUUUCACGGUUCGAUGAACAUUUAUUGAAAAAAAAAAUACGAUUUUCAAAUAUCAUAGGCAAGUAUUGUUUUAUUUUGGUAACUGAAACUGAUCUUUUAUCAACUUUUUCGUUAUGUUCAUGACCAAUUAACAUGCUUCAAUGAUUCAAAGGCGUUUAAUUAAACAUUCACGCUUGAAUGAACAUGUGGAAUGUGAUUAGCUCUUUUUUUACGUUAUUGGAAAAAAUGCAAUUUGUAACUAUGGAUAUCUGUCACAAACCUCCGUGCAUGGUUCAUUUGAUUUGAUUUUUAUGAAAAUCCCGAUGUUUAAUGCGUCAGUGAGCACACAAUAUUCGAAAAUUAUGCAAAUGAGAAGAAAGUUCAAGGCCUUGGCCCCACUCUGUGCCGCAUCGAAUUGUUAUUUGGUUUGCGUGCCUUUUGGAUAGUGUUACCCUGAAGCCAUGUGCGAAGUUUCAUGAAAUAACUGUUGGCACAAGUAACAAAAACCGUCCAUGAAACAAACCCCUUAUUUCAUAUUUGUUAAAUUUUGACUUCCUCUCUCAUAGACUUGUGUACAUUAUGGGUGCAUAUGUUUAAGAAUUAGUAACCCCUUAUUCAAUAUGGUGGAACUUUUUUUCAAGGCUGUCUACAGCAAUGUCAUUUGGCAGUAAUGUUUAUCAACCUAUGGGCAGAAUUCUGUGCAAAAAUGAAAUCGAUUUGUUUAUUUACGGAUGAGUGAGCACGCAUCAAAGUGAGAAAAUGGGUAUUUUCAAUGUCACAGACUCAUUUUAAAGGGUAAUAAGGUGAAUAUUGGGGGCAAAUUCGGUUUCAAAUGUGACUAUAAUUGCUGUUGUUUUUAUCAUCCAUCAUUUCUAUCACCACACACUUACCGAACUUAACAUUUUCAUGGUUGAGCGAGCACAUUCGAAAACUUAGGAAUGAAUACUCUUUAUACUGCAUAAAUGCAUUAUUUUCCUAACAAUUUCUCAUGAUCAGUUUAAUUUAUGGACAAAUCAGUGGUGGAUCCAGAAUUUAAAAAUGGGGGAGGGGCCUAUAAUCGGGGGAGCCACCAACAUUUUCAAAUUUUAAUAUGACCUAACAAGUUGUAGAGGAUACUACCAAAAAACCCUAUGAUGAUACGUCACAAUACAGGGGCCGCGGAACGGUUUUCAAAGUGUGAUGAAGGGGCUGAGCCAAAAGUGGGGGGGGGGGGCUGACCAUGCAACAAAUCACAAUCUAUGGUCAUUUUUACAUUUUUGUACAUGAUUUUGGAAAAAAGUGGGCCCCCCCGCAACCCCGCUUCCGCGGCCCCUGCGAUAUUGUGCUCACUCAACCAUGAACAUACGAUAUCAAAAUUGUGUGUGGAGUGGCUAAAUGAUGGAUAGCAAAACAGUAUAACACCAUAAAAUUCACCUAAAAACAACUUUUGCCCUACUUUGUAUUUGCACAAUCUGAAAAACGACUCUUGUGACUUUCAAAAAUGGUCAUUUUUAAUUCAAUCUUUAAUUACUCAUGCAUGACUCAACCGAUCAAUCUCAUUUUUCCCCAGGAGUUGCGAAGGAGGGGGUUCACAAUAGAAUAUUCAGUUUUGUUUAGCACAUAUCACAUCAUGUAUUACUCCUCCAUGUGCUUCCAAAUAGACUUUGGGUGUGUUGAUGCUUCCAUUGCGAGGACAGUAUCAGCGUUUUCAAACGUCGAUUCAAAACGCCGAUCGUAAAGGUGGUUCUGGGAGUGCUGUUUAUGCUUAACUUUUUAGAGACGAAAUCACGAUCUCCAGCUGGCUUCGCAUCGUAAUUUUCGUUGAGCAGGAAAGCGAGGUCAAAUUGGGCACACCCUUUUUCGAAAGUUUUUUUUCCGAGUGUUGUUAUGGGGAAGGGACGUCGACUGUUAUAUAAACAUCGAACAAUUUCCGAUAUUUCAGUCAUUGCAUGGAGCCUCUUGAUAUAGCCAUAUGAUUUCCACCAUGGUGAGGAUAAUAGUAUUAAAGAAAAAAUAAAGAAUAUUAAGUAUACAAAAUAACAAAAUUUGUUUAUGCUACUGGGCAUCUGGUGAUGUCACCUCAUUAAAACUCAUGUUCCAGGUUUUUUUUUUUGGUGUAAAUCUCUCAACGUUCAUCGUGAUGACAAACUUGGAAGAGUAAUACUAGUAAUAGUACUACACAUGCAAAACAAGGGAGAUGAGAGGUAAUUCCAUGGAGGUAUUGGGUAUUACAUGCGACCAUGGAGCAAUGCGACUAUACUUGCCCGCGGAUUUUCAUCGGAUUUUCAUCUCACCGGAAGCAUGUACCAAAUGACGUAAUUUAAACACGUUUACGAUCGUGGUUCUGUUUAUACUUCCCCAGAAAGCCUGAUUCUGGUCAAACGACGUUUACAAACGCACCUUUUUGUGAGUUUACGAUUGGCGUUUUGAAACAGCGUUUAAAUGAAAGUAAGCAUGGAUGCAACCGUGUUUUGGACUAAUCACGUUUGGAAACGCUGAUUCUGGCAUGAAAAGUGGAAGCAUAAACACGGCCUUAGUUGCUUAUACUGCAAAAUAUUGAGAGGGGGGGGGGGGAGGUGAUUGCUCAAGGAUAAUGAAAUAUUUUGUGGGUCAGAAUUGCGAGGGAUGAAUUCUCAAGACAAAUUUAUUUUGCAAAGUUAACAAAAUCUAACAAUCUUAUCUACUUUAUGUUGCUCUGUGGAAAGGCCAUGCUGAAGGGGCUUUGUUUGUAUAACAAUUGAACAUGGAUGCAAAUCUUAGAAAGCCAUUCAUCUCAUUUUUUUCAUUUUAAAGGACACAAUACAUGUACAUACACUGGGCUGGUAUAAUGAACUACUAGUAUGAACAGUGUGUAGUUUAUACUGCCAAUGAAACAAUUAGGUUUCCCACUAUGUACCCAUUUCGAUUUCAUCAGUCUAAAAGGUGGAUCAAAAAAAUUAAUGUUGGGUUUUCUCUGUGUAAAUAGCUAUUUCAUGACACUGAAGCUAUUUUUUAACAAUAGCACUUCAAUGUCACCUUGUAUGCUGUGUGCUUUGCAUAGAAGAGCACACUUUGUUGUCUUAUUACCAUAGUACGUAGUAUAGACGAGCUCGAUGCUUUUGACCUGACCUUCAAAAAUUGGGUCAUUGUAGCACAUGUAGAUAUACUGAUUAGGGUAAAUUAUAUCUCAGUUGAACAAAUUAGUAAUGGUUUAAAAGAAAGUGAACAAACCCUUGACUUUGGACAGCUCUUAAAUUUUGUUAAAGAUAUUUGAUUGCCAAGUUAGUCAACAAUAUUAAAAGUUUAAAGCAAACUUUUAGAGUUCAUGCUGUUUGAUCAGUAGAGUUGAUGUUUGAGUUCAGACCAAUAAAGUGAUUUUCUUCUCAGGAUUGUAUACAUGUACAUGUACAAAGUGUGUAUUUCAAAUACAUUUCUUUGUGAGUAGCCUUCUUAAGUUUCAAGCUCUGGUACCAUGACUUUGCUGCUUUUAUUUAAAGGACAAGUCCACCCCAACAAAAAUUGAUUUGAAUAAAAAGAGAAAAAUCCCACAAGUAUAACGCUGAAAAUUUCAUCAAAAUCGGAUGUAAAAUACGAAAGUUAUGACAUUUUAAAGUUUCGCUUAAUUUCACAAAACAUUUAUAUGCACAUACAUCCUGGUCAUUAUGCAAAUGAGGAGACUGAUGACGUCAUCCACUCACUAUUUGUUUUGUAUUUUAUUAUAUGAAAUAUUCUAAUUUUCUCCUCAUUGUCAAGUGAAACAGUGAUUAAUUCCUCCCUGAACAUGUGGAAUUAUGAUUGUUUAAUAAUAUAUAUGGUUCAGUCAAGUCGGUCCUUAUGGUCAAAUUUGUAAAAAAUGAAAUAUUGUAUAAUUCAAACAAUAAAAAACAAAAGAAAUAGUGAGUGAUGGACAUCAUCGCCUGACUCAUUUGCAUGUCACUGAGUUGUGCAUAUCACUGUUUUGUGAAAAAAUAAGUGAAACUUUAAAAUGCCAUAACUUUCUUAUUUUACAUCCGAUUUUGAUGAAAUUUUCAGCAUUAUGCUAGUUUGAUUUUUCUCUAUUUAUUCAAAUCAACAUUUUGCAGCGGUGGACUUUAAAAAAAAUACCUUUUUUGCAAUUGCACCACAGAGCAUUGAAAAAAAAUUACAUGGGGGCUGAAUUGCUCAAAAGAGCCCUGGAAACCAACAAAAAAGGAGCCCUGGGAAUCCCCAUCCAUCUUGAUGUUAAAGCAUAUCCAAUGUUGCAAAUUUAGACAGUAAGUUGUGAAAAGUGGCCCUGAAACAAAAUAGUUUUUUGCCUCAUUGAAAAGAAUAGAAGACAAGGGGCCCCGUUGCAUAAAACUUAUGCCAUAAAAAACUCUGGCAAAUUUUUUGCCAGAGUUUUUUAAUGUGUAAUUUUCAAUGGUAUAAUUUAUUUUGCCAGAGUUUUUGUUUAUUUGCCAAAUUUUUUUUUGGCAAAAGUUUUAUGCAAUGGGCCCAAAGGGGUGUUUCAUGAGAAUUUGUUUACCCACAGCUGUCAGUGCAAGAGAUUGAUGACUGGUCAAGAAGUACUAGAUGUGGCUGUGGCUAGUUGCAACUGUCAGAGAAUAUUGUUGAUGCUGACAACUUCCAUGAAAUGGUCCCUUGGUUCGCCCCCCCCCCCCUAAAAAAAAAUCACCCCCUUGUAAGGGCCUUGUUCUUGAGAAGGUCCUCAUUUUUAUCAUCUUUUUACCCCCUCCCCUGAAAAGGGGACAUUUUAGGGAGAUAUCCUCUAAUAAAAGUUUGAUUAGAAUUUUGACAUUACAAACGAGAAUUCUUCGCCUAAAAAUGAACCAAGGCAACCACCAUGCUGUUUCCCAUCUGAGAAAGAUCUGUAUGAAGUUAUUUUACAUACAUGUACCGGUACAGUAUAUAUUGUGAAAGUUAAUGAUUUUUCGCAAACAAUGAUGAAUCGUGCACUGCCAAUACUAGCUAGCAUGCUACAAUCAAUGUGAUGUGAAUUUUCUUCAGCUUACUUGUGGCCUACAUUGUAGUAGAAUAGAAUUACCAGGAAUGUAGCCUAUAGUAUCCUACUUUUUGAGAUGUUCAAUAUAAUGCUAUGCGCAGUAAAAUGUAAUUUUGUAGUAGCUUUGCAAAAUAAAUUCAUGCUCAUGAAUGUAAUGUUAUUUUCAGAAAAUGAAAUGACCUUGGAGUUUAUUUUGAGGUAUUUUGAGGUAUUUUGGGUAGUUUUAAAGGCCUCUUCUUAAAAGCUCAUUGAAAAGUGAUUUCCCAGCCUUUAUUAAAGAUCAUUUAAAUUUGUCACCAUAGCAAGUUAGCAUCUUUAAAAAAAAUUGAAUGAAAAUUCCAACCAAUUUCAGGGCUUUGCAUAUGGGCUUGAUCCCUGAAUGUGUGUUGACCAAUUAAGUACAAAUGUAGGUCAAUGUGAAAAAGGAACUUGGUGAGGUCAUCUCCUUGCGGUCAGGGAGAUUACUUACCACACCACAGCCAUGGUCCACUACAGUCCUUUCAUGGUAAAUAGGCAGUGACGUCCAUUUGGGUCAAGGCCAAUGAGGUUGUGUCCGUUUCCUUCUGACAAUUCAUUAUUUAUUAUAAAGUACUGUAAAGAUCGCCCCUCCAUGUACAAUGUACACCCAUUCAUAAUGAAUAAACUUGGACAGAACAGUCAGUACACUUCUCUACUUUUGAAAAAAAAGGAAAAAAGUCAAAAGUAAAUUAAAAAUAAUGGGCUGGUUGUUUUGUGAUAUUUUAUUUUACAGAGCUUUCACUGGAAUAAACUACACAUUUAGAGCCUACACGUACAGUACAGUAUGUAAAAUGUGGGCCUGUAGUUAAUUAUUACACUAUAAAAUUGGGAUGGAGAUUCUAGAUAAUGAAUUUGUAUAAAGUGACUUUAAUACACAGAUUUGUAUUCAAAAUUCAUCUUGCAACAAAAGAGCUGAUAAAGAAAGGAAAAGAAUUUUGGAUGUACCCUUUCAAUGCCUCUGAGAAAGUUUGUUUACCUUGUUUUAUAUUAAAAAGUAACUGCUUCCUUUCAUUUUAUUUGAAGCUCUAAUUUGUUUUUUUAUGUGUACAGUAUACUGAAGGUGACUUCAAACAGGUCAAUGAAUUUGACUUGAGGCAUUCUCUUUUUAUUUUUGUUUUUUUUGGGGGGUAGGGGGGCUAAAAUAAAAGUUGAGUUUAAGACCAUUCCAGUUGUUUUCAAGGAAUACUGCAAAUAUGUACAGAUUUUGGAUUUUGUGCUAUUCAUGAAUUCAAAAUUCCAGAUAAAUGAAUGCAAAUUGUAAUUUUGUACUUUUUCAACAAUAAUUUGCUCUAAACAUGUAUUACAGCCCUUUUUCUUUAGAUUUUUUUCUGAGCAUUUCUAUUUGAUGUAGAAUAUUCUCAUGGUGUAGAUUCCUACGUCUUUAAUUUAACUUUAAUUUAACUAGGUUGGUGCCUCAAGGUUUAAAAAUAACCACCAUUCAACUUCCGAUAAAGUUGAAUCAACCUGGGAAUGUGAUGAGUGUUGCACAUGAGGCACAGGUGUUUAGAUCAUGAACAUCAGUGAAAUAUAUUAGUACAUCUUAUCACCUGUAUGUAGUAGGAAACAGGCAUUUCCUUGAUUAAUUAUGAUUUCUGCAUUUGUAUUUCACGUGCAGUUUUUAUAUUCAUAUGUACAGUUGUGGGGAAAAAAUAUGUAAUGGGGGCUCUUUUUUGUUUAACCUUAUAAAGCUAUUCAUUUGGACUCUUGCAAAGUUAAAUUGGGCCUUAUAAAAAUUUUCACAUUCUUUGUAUUGUACUUUACCCAUGAUGUUGUAUACAUGUAGUAGUGGUUGUAUUAAGAAUAUCUAAAGAAUCACCCCCCAAAAAAAUAAUGAAUAAAUAAAUGAAUAGAUAGAUAGAUAGAUAGAUAGAUAGAUAGAUAGAUAGA